CGUAGGAAGCCUGCUCGCUGUGCGUCCAGCCCUGGGUUCUCAUCCAGCCCUCUACCAUGGCCUGCAGGGAGGUGGGGCUGUGCGGGCUUGUCUGCAGGAAGGGGACAGGUUGACUCGUCCUCCACCAGCUCCCUCAGCAGUUUCUCCCACUGGCAGAGGAGAGCUGGGUCCUUCGGAUUCCGCGUGGAUUUCAAGGUGUCCAGGUUGGCUUUCUGCCCAGCAGGAGAGAAACGGUAAGAGAGCCCGCCUCAGCAUGGAGCCCAGCUGGACAGGCCACAGGGCUGAUUGGCCCAAGAUGUUUCCAGCCACGACCUUGGGAACUUUGAGGGAUAACUUGGUGAUAUCAGUUCAAGGUCGUCCACAACUCCGAGGCUAGGACCCCCCCCACAUCCUUCCUGCUGCCCAACAGAAGAAACAGGUGGCAAGAAGCUGGGACGGGGUAAGACUGGGAAGCAGUGCAGAGCACUGACCUCCACACAGGCGUGAGAAAGUCAUGCCGGAGGUCCCAGCCCCAGGUGGCUCCCGAGAACUACACUCCCGACAGCCACCUGAGACCGUUUGUGAUCUCACUCCUUCCAGCUUCCAUGGUCGGAUCUUCAUGUCACCUCCAUGCCUCCCCCCGACCCUGUCGAACUUCAAAAACCAGCACAUUGCUGUGGCUUUGCACGUUAUUCCCUUCUACCCCCACCCAGCCCCCAACAAACUCCUAUGCAUUCUUCAAAA